GGAAGUAAAAGUCGUAACAAGGUCUCCGUAGGUGAACCUGCGGAGGGAUCAUUACUGAGUGAGGGCUCACGCCCGACCUCCAACCCUUUGUGAACACAUCUUGUUGCUUCGGGGGCGACCCUGCCGGCACUACGUCGCCGGGCGCCCCCGAAGGUCUCCAAACACUGCAUCUUUGCGUCGGAGUUUAAAACAAAUGAAACAAAACUUUCAACAACGGAUCUCUUGGUUCUGGCAUCGAUGAAGAACGCAGCGAAAUGCGAUAAGUAAUGUGAAUUGCAGAAUUCAGUGAAUCAUCGAAUCUUUGAACGCACAUUGCGCCCUUUGGUAUUCCGAAGGGCAUGCCUGUUCGAGCGUCAUGACACCACUCAAGCCUGGCUUGGUAUUGGGCGUCGCGGCUCCGCGCGCCUUAAAGUCUCCGGCUGAGCCAUUCGUCUCUAAGCGUUGUGGAUUUUCGAAUUCGCUUCGGAGUGCGGGUGGCCGCGGCCGUUAAAUAUUUACUCAAGGAUGACCUCGGAUCAGGUAGGGAUACCCGCUGAACUUAAGCAUAUC
rnacentral:rRNA from 1 species